rnacentral:rRNA from 1 species
UACGUAGGGAGCAAGCGUUGUCCGGAAUCAUUGGGCGUAAAGCGCGCGUAGGCGGCCCUGUAAGUCCGCUGUAAAAGUCAAAGGCUCAACCUUUGAAAGCCGGUGGAUACUGCAGGGCUAGAGUCCGGAAGAGGCGAGUGGAAUUCCUGGUGUAGCGGUGGAAUGCGCAGAUAUCAGGAGGAACACCAAUAGCGAAGGCAGCUCGCUGGGACGGUACUGACGCUAAGGCGCGAAAGCGUGGGGAGCGAACAGG